UACGUAGGGUGCGAGCGUUGUCCGGAAUUAUUGGGCGUAAAGCGCGCGCAGGCGGCCUUUUAAGUCUGAUGUGAAAUCUUGCGGCUCAACCGCAAGCGGCCAUUGGAAACUGGGAGGCUUGAGUACAGAAGAGGAGAGUGGAAUUCCACGUGUAGCGGUGAAAUGCGUAGAUAUGUGGAGGAACACCAGUGGCGAAGGCGACUCUCUGGUCUGUAACUGACGCUGAGGCGCGAAAGCGUGGGGAGCAAACAGG
rnacentral:rRNA from 1 species